rnacentral:rRNA from 1 species
CAGACGUGCGUGGCGCGGUUCAGCUCUGGUUCGCCAGAGUGUAUUCCGUGCCUUUGCAGGCCAACAUCGGUUUCACGAGGUGGAUAAAGGUUUGAGGAAUGUGGCACCUUCGGGUGUGUUAUAGUCUCUUACUGAAUACUCCUCGAGGGACCGAGGAACGCAGCGCGCCGCAAGGCAAAGACCCAGGUCUUUUCGCGCUUAGGAUGUUGGUGAAAUGGUCUUAAACGACCCGUCUUGAAACACGGACCAAGGAGUCUAACAUGUGUGCGAGUGUU